rnacentral:lncRNA from 1 species
GUGAAUUUUAUCUGAUAAGCGUUAUAUCGUUUCUGACUUUGGCAUCGGAGCGACUUGCAGGUACAACCCCCCACCUGUGGAAAGGAGAAGCCGAGAAGAACCUAGCAGAGUGAGAAGCCGAGAAGAACCUAGCGAGAGGAGAGGUCCAGAGUAUCCGGCCCACGAAGAAACGGAGUUCAACCCAAGAUUAAAAGACUUGCAAUCUUGUCAACUUGCUUCGAGUGUUCUCGGUCCCUGUUGUAAGAAC